GACGAACGCUGGCGGCGUGCUUAACACAUGCAAGUCGAACGGAAAGGCCCUGCUUUUGUGGGGUGCUCGAGUGGCGAACGGGUGAGUAACACGUGAGUAACCUGCCCUUGACUUUGGGAUAACUUCAGGAAACUGGGGCUAAUACCGGAUAGGAGCUCCUGCUGCAUGGUGGGGGUUGGAAAGUUUCGGCGGUUGGGGAUGGACUCGCGGCUUAUCAGCUUGUUGGUGGGGUAGUGGCUUACCAAGGCUUUGACGGGUAGCCGGCCUGAGAGGGUGACCGGCGACAGUUGGGCGGCGCGGCGGCCUAGGCUGAGACGAGGGGGAUAAGGGGGGAAUAUGGCACAGGGGCGGGGAGGUGGAGGCAGGAGCGCGGGGGGGGGGAGGGCGGGGUUCGGGUGAUACACCGGUUCCGACGGUGAGGAGGCGGGAGUGACGGAAAUGGGUAAAGAAGCACCGGCCAACGACGUGCCAGCUGCCGCGGUAAGCAUCGGAAGAGCAAACGUCUGACC
rnacentral:rRNA from 1 species